rnacentral:rRNA from 1 species
UGGGGAAUAUUGCACAAUGGGCGCAAGCCUGAUGCAGCCAUGCCGCGUGUGUGAAGAAGGCCUUCGGGUUGUAAAGCACUUUCAGCGAGGAGGAAGGUGGUGAACUUAAUACGUUCAUCAAUUGACGUUACUCGCAGAAGAAGCACCGGCUAACUCCGUGCCAGCAGCCGCGGUAAUACGGAGGGUGCAAGCGUUAAUCGGAAUUACUGGGCGUAAAGCGCACGCAGGCGGUUUGUUAAGUCAGAUGUGAAAUCCCCGGGCUCAACCUGGGAACUGCAUUUGAAACUGGCAAGCUAGAGUCUCGUAGAGGGGGGUAGAAUUCCAGGUGUAGCGGUGAAAUGCGUAGAGAUCUGGAGGAAUACCGGUGGCGAAGGCGGCCCCCUGGACGAAGACUGACGCUCAGGUGCGAAAGCGUGAGGAGCAAACAGGAUUAGAUACCCUGGUAGUCCACGCUGUAAAACGAUGUCGAUUUUGGAGGUUGUGCCCUUGAGGCGUGGCUUCCGGAGCUAACGCGUUAAAUCGACCGCCU